GGAAGCUUUUUCUUUGAGGGGAAUGUUGUCUGGCUCGAGGCCGCCAUAACAAUUUUUCUUCCAUUUUUAUUAUUAUUUUUCUUCGGGAUCUCGGACCAGGCUUCAUUCCCCCCAAUCAUAAUAGCUUCC
rnacentral:pre_miRNA from 1 species